CUUGACUGACUGACGAGAAAGCGGAACACCAAAUCUUGUUUUGAGGCAUAUCAAGGCAGGCUUAAUUGGCCACUAAAUAAAACAUUAUCUCAACUUUGCUUUCCUUUUCCUUCCCAGGUGUUCAUUCCCACUCUCUACGGCUUGCAUGUCCAGUCUCAGGAUUACAUGUGAGUUUUGAUAAUGGUAGUAACGGCAAAAUACAUAGUGCAAUCCUUUAAACUUGUACUGCGUGAUGAUUUGAAUUUAUCAAUGGGAAUCUCUCUGAAAAAGGAUGAGGGAGAACUUUAUACUGACUUGGUACAUAGAACUAAAGGAACACUCAAAGUACCAUAAACCCUACAAGCUGCUGUGCCCUGUGCUGCCAGGAGUGCCCUUGUGUAACAAUGGUAAACUUGUCAAAUACUAAAACAGUUUUGAAAACUUGCCUGUGGCUGCAUCUUGAGAUGGUGCUCUAGGUCAACAACCAGUCGUGCAUUUGCCUGCUGUGCUGUACAGAGCAAUCCAGUUGCAGGAAGUGCUGAUGUCUGUCUGGAAGACCCAGGUAAACUAUCAAACUGUACUAAAAUGUCUUGCCAGGGCAUUCCAGGCACCCUAGGGCACAGCAGUCUGUAUUGGUAGUGGUGUUUGGAAUAUUGAUCUAAUGCUUACAGUGGAUUGAUUUUUGUUUUCUUAGGUGUGCAACUCUCGAUGAUGCCUAGAAACAUGGUACCAGGUUUGUAGUCUUUUUACACAUAUUCUUUGUGCAAUAAUGGUUCAGUGGUACUGUAAAGGUCUGGAUUUUAGCUAGCUGUGCAUAUUGGAAAAUAGACCUUAACUGUGCCAUGGCUAAACAUGUUGCUUGUAGUUUUUUUUUUUUUUGCCUACUGAUCUUAAUUUCCGAUAGUUGGUGUAUAACAGAUUACCCAAUUUGCGUCUCUUUGGAUCUGUUACAUCUUUAACACCGUAAAGUUAGCAAUUAAUGACAAUUAGGUCUAAUCUCAUAUAAAAAACAAAUUGCCCUGUGACACAAGGAUGAUAACAUAGUUCAGCUGAUGCCCACUGAUGAGCAGAGCUUGUCUUUCGCUCCUAUCUGAGAUGUCACAGUGCUAGAAAUGUGUCAAUUUUAUAUAUUGUAUCCAUGAUUCUAACAUAAAGGUCUCUUACAGAUGCAAGGAAAAAUGAAUGACCACAUGAAAGCACAUCAAUAAAAUGU